UUUUAUGGAGAGUUUGAUCCUGGCUCAGAGUGAACGCUGGCGGCGUGCCUAAUACAUGCAAGUCGAACGAUGAAGCUUUUAGCUUGCUAGAAGUGGAUUAGUGGCGCACGGGUGAGUAAGGUAUAGUUAAUCUGCCCUACACAAGAGGACAACAGUUGGAAACGACUGCUAAUACUCUAUACUCCUGCUUAACACAAGUUGAGUAGGGAAAGUUUUUCGGUGUAGGAUGAGACUAUAUAGUAUCAGCUAGUUGGUAAGGUAAUGGCUUACCAAGGCUAUGACGCUUAACUGGUCUGAGAGGAUGAUCAGUCACACUGGAACUGAGACACGGUCCAGACUCCUACGGGAGGCAGCAGUAGGGAAUAUUGCGCAAUGGGGGAAACCCUGACGCAGCAACGCCGCGUGGAGGAUGACACUUUUCGGAGCGUAAACUCCUUUUCUUAGGGAAGAAUUCUGACGGUACCUAAGGAAUAAGCACCGGCUAACUCCGUGCCAGCAG
rnacentral:rRNA from 1 species